AUCAAAAGAAGAAGCAGCGGCACGAUUUUGCUUGUCUCCGUCGGAUCUGGACCAGAUACCUGCACCGUAAAAAUACUAAGAAAAUGAUGGCAUAAGAAGACUACCCAGCAAUAGAAAAGCAAACUAAAUGUAGACGACUGUAGUGUUUAUUGUUAAGAUUCAUUUAACAGGUAUUUCCCGACCAUCAUGUAAAUGAAUUGCAAGAAUUUUUUCCUGAUAUUUAAUGUAGAAAGCUAACGUUAAAUUAUAUGUUGUGCCAUGAACUUAUUACAAUUUCCUUGAUGUACCUGUAUCAUGCGAUCCAUGAGAUUCAUGGCCUAGUGAUCACUAACCAUGCCAGUCAUCUGCUCCUGGGAGGUAACCCACCCAUUGCCAUUCCGUAACCCUCUGAAUGCAGUUUUUCUCCUCCUAGCAUUGACAUGGAGAUGAGCAUGAGUCAUAUUGUUGAAUUUCUUAAAUGGUUCAUGCUUAACUUUCCAACACAAAACGAAGAAAAGAUAUAUUUGUAAAAUUGUGAAAUAAACAUGCUGGCCAACACUAUAGAUAAUACUACCAUGGUAGCCAGGAAUCAUAAUACUACCAUGGCAGACAGUUCACGUUUUGUUGAGUACAUACAUGAUACUACCAGGUCAGAACCUACAGAAGCAGGAUCAUUGAUUUAUACUAUUCAAAAACACUAACAACAAUCGCAACCCGAAAAUUAAGUGGCUUGAAACUGGCAACCCAACCCAUGAAUAAAGCGGCAUCGAUCUGGAACGUAGGACAAACCGUGCCUUGCAGAUGUAGUUUCAGCAUAGAUAAGCAUAAGUAGCAUAUAUUGAAAAAGUAUUAAAAAAGGCUUGUGUUCAGUUGGACAUGAAUAGCCUCAUGAUUCCUGAGUCAGAUGAACAAAGAGAAAUCAAACCAGCACGAGGAUAGGAGAUCCCACAUUGCCCAAUUUCUACAAUCGGCAUCACCACACUUGUAAACAAGAUAACAGAUCUACUAAUUCCAGCGCAUCAAUUUCUACAUAAACAAAAUUACCACAUAAUGAGAUCCAUGUCACUGGAGUUAAAUUACGCAAAUUUGCAUAACACUCACGGGUAGAGGAUAGCCAUCAGUCGUAGUAGUAUUGGAGGUUGUGGCCGUACUUGCUUAUGUUUCUGUAUGAAUAGUUAGGAUCAACGACAGAAACAAGUCAGGCAGACGAGUCGACGACUGAACAAAAAAAACUGUAAUUGUUGAAAAAAUUGCUUCUACCAAGUUCUACUCCCUCCAUUCCUAAAUAUAGGUCUUCUUAGUGAUUUGAAUAUGGACUACAUACGGAUAAAUGUAGACAUAUUCUAGAGUGUAGAUUCACUCAUUUUUCUUCGUAUGCAGUCCAUAUUAGAAUUCCUAAAAAGACAUAUUUAGAAACGAAGGGAGUAGCAUGUUAGCCAAAAUCUUGUUACAUGAGAAACACUAAUAACUGGGUCAAAUUUAUGGGAAAAUGACUUCAACAAAUGCUUCUCAAUCAAAAGGUUGGAGAUCUUCCACCCCUUCGCCGACGCCAACAAACUUGGCUGGAACUCCAACUUCGUCUAUGAACACUCACCUGAGACAGGAUUCAGGUCAGCAAGUUUAGUUGUCGUAUAUUUAAGAUCCAGGACUGGAAUUUGUAUCUGUUACAAUAAAGGACUGGAAAUC
rnacentral:lncRNA from 1 species